rnacentral:tRNA from 1 species
GACGUAGUGGCUUAAUGGUAGAGCAUAAGAUUGUUAAUCUGAGGGUAUUAGUUCAAUUCUAGUUUGUGUCG